rnacentral:snRNA from 1 species
CAAAGCAUCUGGCAUAGGAGAUACCACAGUCAUGAAGGUGGUUUUCCCAGGUGAGGCUAAUCCAUUGCACUCUGGACAUGAUGACUCCUGAGAUUAUCCCAAAUGGGGGAAACUCAACUGUAUAAUUUGUGGUAGUGGAGGACUGUGUGUGUGCUCUCCCCUG